rnacentral:tRNA from 1 species
GCCGGAGUGGCGGAAUCGGCAGACGCGCUAGAUUCAAAAUCUGGUGCCUUCGGGCGUGUGGGUUCGAGUCCCACCUCCGGCA